UACGUAGGGGGCAAGCGUUGUCCGGAAUCAUUGGGCGUAAAGAGCGUGUAGGUUGUUCGAUAAGUCUGCUGUGAAAGUCCAGGGCUCAACCCUGGGAUGCCGGUGGAUACUGUCUGACUAGAGUACGGAAGAGGCGAGUGGAAUUCCCGGUGUAGCGGUGAAAUGCGCAGAUAUCGGGAGGAACACCGAUGGCGAAGGCAGGUCUCUGGGCAUUAACUGACGCUGAGGAGCGAAAGCAUGGGGAGCGAACAGG
rnacentral:rRNA from 1 species